AUUGAACGCUGGCGGCAGGCCUAACACAUGCAAGUCGAACGCGUGGCGGAGGGGUGAGUAAUGUCUGGGAAACCGCCUGAUGGGGGGGGAUAAAUACUAGAAACGGUAGCUAAUACCGCAUACCAUCGGAUGUGCCCAGAUGGGAUUAGCUGGUGGGGGGGGUAACGGCUCACCUAGGCGACGAUCCCUAGCUGGUCUGAGAGGAUGACCAGCCACACUGGAACUGAGACACGGUCCAGACGCCUACGGGAGGCAGAAGUGGGGAAUAUUGCACAAUGGGCGCAAGCCUGAUACAGCCAUGCCGCGUGUGUGAAGAAGGCCUUCGGGUUGUAAAGUACUUUCAGCGGGGAGGCGUUACCCGCAGAAGAAGCACCGGCUAACUCCGUGCCAGCCGCCGCGGUAAUUC
rnacentral:rRNA from 1 species